CUGGUUUUACUAAGGUUCUCUUUGGUCUUAAAAGGUUCAUCAGGAAAGUUGGAAGGAGCUGGAUCUGCAGUCACUCUUUAGGGGAAGGACAUUUCCUUUCUUCCUUCUUCAGGGUACCUUUGUUGAGUAAGCCAACAGACUAAUGAAGUUCUUGAGGUCCUGUAAUUCAGCUCUGCUGCAGAUCCAAAAGUGAUGCAUGAAGUGAGCCCUUCCAGCUGUUUCACCAAAUCAUCUGUGGAGAGCAAGGUGUUAUUUCCCAGUCUGCUACAGCUGAGUUAAUUUCCACCAUGGAUGCAAACAGGAUUUUGGAAUAAGGAAACCUCUAGCACAGUCACCAUCUCGAGAAGGCAGCUGAAGUCACACUGCAGAUGCACACUGCCUGUGCCACCAGGCUCUACAUCCUCUUCCCCUGCCUUGGCCAUGGCUUCUGGUCAGCCCUGAUGUGCUGUAGGUGACUUUGGACCUCCCUCACCACUCUGGACUUGUGUGAUGCUCGUGGGACUCCGGGCUGAGCCUUGUUUCCAGCAGCC